rnacentral:rRNA from 1 species
AAUCAAUAUCUUGCUUUAAAUCUCAAAAGUCAAAGGUAAAAUCAUUACAAAAAUAAUUUAAAAAAAUAAAUCAAAGUAAAGUUUAUUGAAAUAAUAACUAGAAGCUAUAGAAUAAAGUACUGCAAAGGAAAGAUGAAAUAAACUGAAAUAUUAAAAUUAUAUAAAGCAAUUGUUAGUUUGUGUACCUUGUGUAUCAGGGAAAAUCAAAUCAAGAUCUGUUAAUAAAGUAAAUCUCGAAAAAAGAAGAGCUAAUACAAUAAAAACUUACCGUAUUAAAGGUAUUUUAAAUUCUGUAUUGGUAAUGAAAUGUUAAUCGUUUCUUUAUAUCUAGUUAUAAAUGAAUUAAAUUUAAUUUAGUAAUAUAUUCCUUCCCCUCCUAAUAUAUUACAAAGAAAAGGAGGAAAAGCUUCUUUUUCUAAAAAUAAUUUGAUUGAGUUUACAGAGAAUAGAUUGAAAUUUAUUUUAAAAUUAGACUUAGAAGUAGUCAUAUUAGUAAAGUGUUUUAACUAAUAAAGCUAAAUUAUUAAUAUUUAUAUAUUGUAAAACCUGUUUUAGUAGUUUAUAAAUUAAGAAAUCAGUGUUCUUAAAUGUUAUAAUGAUGUUACUAGUAGAUAAUUUAAUAUACAUAUGUACUUAAUAUAAAAAUUGAAAUAAUAUUAAAACUAUAAAUAGAUAAGGUUGUAAAAAUAUAAUGAAGGAACUCGGCAAAUACAUACCACUUUUGCCUGUUUAUCAAAAACAUGUCUGUAUGAAGGUGUAUAGAGUCUGGCCUGCCCACUGACUUAAGGUUGUUUAAAGGGCCGCGGUAUUUUGACCGUGCGAAGGUAGCAUAAUCAUUAGUCUUUUAAUUGAAGGCUUGUAUGAAUGGUCGGACAAAAAGUGAGCUGUCUACAAUUAUAAAAAUUGAAUCUGACCUUUAAGUGAAAAGGCUUAAAUAUAACAAAGUGACGAUAAGACCCUAUAAAGCUUUAAAGCUUGAAUUUUUUAUUACAAAUUAUUAAAUAAUAUAACUUAAUCUAAAAGGAAGCUUUUUUGUUGGGGCGACAAAAAUAUAAAUAAAUAACUGUUUUUGUUUCAGUAAAACAACGAUAAUUGGACUAGAAAAUGAUCCUUUAUUAAAGAUUAAAAGAUUAAGUUACUUUAGGGAUAACAGCGUAAUCUUCUUUGAGAGUUCAUAUCGACAAGAAGGGUUGCGACCUCGAUGUUGAAUUAAGGUUCCUUUAUGGUGUAGCAGUUAUAACAGGAGGUCUGUUCGACCUUUAAAUCCUUACAUGAUUUGAGUUCAGACCGGCGUAAGCCAGGUCGGUUUCUAUCUUUUGUAUAAUAAAAGCUAUCUUAGUACGAAAGGAUUAGGUAGUUGAAAUAAUUUUAAACACUAAGGUUAAUGUUAAUUGUUUA